CCUACGGGUGGCAGCAGUGAGGAAUAUUGGUCAAUGGACGCAAGUCUGAACCAGCCAUGUCGCGUGCAGGAUGACGGCCCUACGAGUUGUAAACUGCUUUUGUACGAGGGUAAACGCAGACACGUGUACCUGUCUGAAAGUAUCUUACGAAUAAGGAUCGGCUAACUCCGUGCCAGCAGCCGCGGUAAUACGGAGGAUUCAAGCGUUAUCCGGAUUUAUUGGGUUUAAAGGGUGCGUAGGUGGUCGGAUAAGUUAGUGGUGAAAUCCUGCGGCUCAACCUCAGAAUUGCAAUUGAUACUGGCAGGCUAGAGAACAGUUGCGGUAGGCGGAAUGCAUGGUGUAGCGGUGAAAUGCUUAGAGAUCAUGCAGAACUCCGAUUGCGAAGGCAGCUUACCAAGCUACUUCUGACAUUGAGGCACGAAAGCGUGGGUAGCAAACAGGAUUAGAUACCCCUGUAGUC
rnacentral:rRNA from 1 species